AUAAGCUGAUUUUUAGAAAUUCGUAUACAGCAAAAGGGCCAUGGUAUGUAAUUCAACGCAAGAACGCACAUGGCGACGUUUACCCACAAGCACUUACGCACGUGAUAGAAGACUAUGUAAUACUUUGUUCAGACCAAAGCUGUUUUGAGCAAACGACACGUGGUCCCUUUAAAAUGCUCUGAAAACUAAUUGUUUUUCUUUCUAAUUUAUAAGGGAAAAAUGACUCAUUUGCAAUAAGAAUGAGUUAUUCAACGCAUGAGAGCCCAUUAAAUGCCUAAAUUGUGUCAAAUAAACACAGCCCUGAAUAAUGUCAAAUAAUAAAAAUCAAAUUUUUUUCUUAAAAAAAUUGUAAAACAACCAACAUUUUGCAGCAGAAGGAUGAAGAAUGCAAUUUCCAAAACAUCUCAACUAGUGUGAACGGUAGCUUUUCAAAACUAUAUAAGCAAAACGAUUCAAUGUAGACAUGACAUAAAGGUCUGGUAAUGCUCUCCUAAAUGUAAAGUGGUGCCUGCAAUGAUUUGGCAGUUCCAUAAUUUGUAUUUGGUUAUACAUCAGCUAAAUGUUAAAUUUCCUUCUUUUUUGAACAAUUGUUUUGCCAAUAAAAGUUUUUGGUUGCCAUUAUGAAGUUUUCUA
rnacentral:sRNA from 1 species